rnacentral:rRNA from 1 species
AGUGAACGCUGGCGGUAGGCCUAACACAUGCAAGUCGAACGGCAGCACAGUAAGAGCUUGCUCUUACGGGUGGCGAGUGGCGGACGGGUGAGGAGUACAUCGGAAUCUACUUUUUCGUGGGGGAUAACGUAGGGAAACUUACGCUAAUACCGCAUACGACCUACGGGUGAAAGCAGGGGAUCUUCGGACCUUGCGCGAUUGAAUGAGCCGAUGUCGGAUUAGCUAGUUGGCGGGGUAAAGGCCCACCAAGGCAACGAUCCGUAGCUGGUCUGAGAGGAUGAUCAGCCACACUGGAACUGGAACACGGUCCAGACUCCUACGGGAGGAAGCAGUGGGGAAUAUUGGAAAAUGGGCGCAAGCCUGAUCCAGCCAUACCGCGUGGGUGAAGAAGGCCUUCGGGUUGUAAAGCCCUUUUGUUGGGAAAGAAAAGCAGCAGGUUAAUACCCCGCUGUUCUGACGGUACCCAAAGAAUAAGCACCGGCUAACUUCGU